GACGAACGCUGGCGGCGUGCCUAAUACAUGCAAGUCGAGCGAACAGACUAGGAGCUUGCUCCUCUGACGUUAGCGGCGGACGGGUGAGUAACACGUGGGUAACCUACCCUUAAGACUGGGAUAACUUCGGGAAACCGGAGCUAAUACCGGGUAAUAUAUUGAACCACAUGUUUCAAUGGUGAAAGACGGCUUUGCCUACACUUACAGCUUGAUCCGCGCCGCUUUAGCUAGUUGGUAAGGUAACGGCGUACCAAGGCAACGAUGCAUAGCCGACCUGAGAGGGUGAUCGGCCACACUGGAACUGAGACACGGUCCAGACUCCUACGAGAGGGAGGAGUAGGGACUCUUCCACAGUGGGCGAGAGCCUGACGGAGCAACGGCGCGUGAGUUAUGAAGGUCUUCGGAUCGUAAAACUGUGUUAUUAGGGGAAAACAAAUGUGUAAGUGUCUAUGGACGUCUUGACGGUACCUAAUCAGAAAGCCACGGCUAACUACGUG
rnacentral:rRNA from 1 species